UGCUUUACACAUGCAAGUCGAACGGCCAGCACGGACUUCGGUCUUGUGGCGAGUGGCGAACGGGUGAGUAAUAUAUCGGAACGUAUCCAAUAAUGGGGAUAACUAAUCGAAAGGUUGGCUAAUACCGCAUACGCCCUACGGGGGAAAGCUAGGGAUCUUCGGACCUGGCGUUAAUGGAGCGGCUGAUAUCUGAUUAGCUAGUAGGUGAGGUAAGGGCUCACCUAGGCACGAUCAGUAGCUGGUCUGAGAGGACGACCAGCCACACUGGAACUGAGACACGGUCCAGACUCCUACGGGAGGCAGCAGUGGGGAAUUUUGGACAAUGGGCGAAAGCCUGAUCCAGCCAUUCCGCGUGAGUGAAGAAGGCCUUCGGGUUGUAAAGCUCUUUCGCAAGGGAAGAAAACUUAUCCUCUAACAUAGGGUGAGGUUGACGGUACCUUGAUAAGAAGCACCGGCUAACUACGUGCCAGCAGCCGCGGUAAACGUAGGGUGCGAGCGUUAAUCGGAAUUACUGGGCGUAAAGCGUGCGCAGGCGGUUUUGUAAGUCAGAUGUGAAAUCCCCGAGCUCAACUUGGGAACUGCGUUUGAAACUAUAAGACUAGAAUAUGUCAGAGGGGGGUAGAAUUACACGUGUAGCAGUGAAAUGCGUAGAGAUGUGGAGGAAUACCAAUGGCGAAGGCAGCCCCCUGGGAUAAUAUUGACGCUCAUGCACGAAAGCGUGGGGAGCAAACCGGAUUGAUACCCUGGUAGUCCACGCCCUAAACGAUGUCUACUAGUUGUUGGUGGAGUAAAAUCCAUGAGUAACGCAGCUAACGCGUGAAGUAGACCGCCUGGGGAGUACGGUCGCAAGAUUAAAACUCAAAUGAAUUGACGGGGGCCCGCACAAGCGGUGGAUUAUGUUGGAUUAAUUCGAUGCAACGCGAAAAACCUUAACUGGCCUUGACAUGGUUA
rnacentral:rRNA from 1 species